rnacentral:rRNA from 1 species
UACGGAGGGUGCAAGCGUUGUCCGGAAUUAUUGGGCGUAAAGAGCUCGUAGGCGGUCUGUCGCGUCGGCUGUGAAAACCCGGGGCUCAACCCCGGGCCUGCAGUCGAUACGGGCAGACUAGAGUGUGGUAGGGGAGACUGGAAUUCCUGGUGUAGCGGUGAAAUGCGCAGAUAUCAGGAGGAACACCGGUGGCGAAGGCGGGUCUCUGGGCAUUACCUGACGCUGAGGAGCGAAAGUGUGGGGAGCGAACAGG